ACACCUCAACUCUCAUGGUUUGCCAUGAUGAGCUUGGACUUUGGGGGUCUUGCUGGCCUACGGUCGGCUCCUCUCAAAUGAAUCAGCUUGCCAGUGUUUGGUGGCAUCACGGGUGUGAUAACUAUCUACGCUUGUGGUUUCCCACCAGGUAACCUUCAGUGAUGGAGGUUCGCUGGGGCUCAUAAAUGUCCCUCCACAGUGAGGACAGCUUUUGAAC
rnacentral:misc_RNA from 2 species